GUUUUUUAUUUGUCUUUCCUUGGUGCUGCGGGGCCCCACGCCCCUGGUGCACUGGCAUGCCCACGGGGGUGCCAGGGGCUCCCCAGCCCCCCUCUGCUCCCCCGGGCGGUCCCUGUGCGCGGGAAAGACCUACGGGCCCAUCCUGCACCGUGGGCAAAUGCUGCACCCCUGUCUUUUGAGGGACCCGCUGGGAAAACAAGGUGACCUCAAUGCCAGGCUGUUGGCAGUGGCCUGGGAAAGCCCCAGCGCGGCUCAGGGCUAGCAGCCCCGGGCCUGCCCUGGCCCGCCCCCGCGGUGCCCGCCGGCGCUUCCCCUUGCAGAGCCGGGGCCUGGGUGCUGCAGGGCCGGAGCAUCUGUGGGGCACCGGCUCGGGGGGGGUGGGGGUGGGGGUGGGGGUGGAGAAGCGCGUCCGGAGCGGCCAGGGAAGCAGAGCUGAGGAACCGGGGAGAGCAGCGGGAGGCGGAGGGGUGGAUGCGUGUGCGUGGUGCCCGUGGGGAGCCCCUGGAAUUCCUCCCGCGAGAGCAACGUUACAGCGGUUCACCCAGCACGUCCCCCCCGUCCGUGUAUCCCCUCCCUGCCAUGCCCCACGCCGCGUGCCCAGAACCCCUGCUCGGGCCUUGCGGGUGCCCCUUUGGCAUCACCCUUGGCGGGCCGGUGGCAAGGACACCCUCCCGGCUGGCAAGCUGGGGGGGCACGGCAGGGCGCGAGUCCCCGUCCCUGCCGCCCCGCUGCCCCCCCGCGCCGGUCUGCCGCAGCUCGGGCAGCAGCCGCAGCGCGGGCAGCAGCCGCCUCUCGCCGCUGAGGUGAUGCGGGUCUGGAGGCGGGCCGCCCCCGCCCCCCCGGCGCAGUCCUGCCCGCCCGCCUGCGCGCCGUGCGGGGCGGCCGUGCGCGGAGCGGGCCGCGGAGCGGAGCAUGGCGCGGGCGGCGCCGGGGCUGCCGCUGCGGCUGCUGCUGCUGGGCGGCCUCCUGCUGCGGGGUGGCGGCGCGGCGGCGGGGGUCGAGCCGUGCCAGGCGCCGCGGCAGUGGGAAGGGCGCACCGUGUCCUACGAGCACGGCACGGGCCGCAACACGCGGGCCGCUGUCUCCUACGACGGCCCCAACCAGCGCCUCCGCAUCCUGGAGGAGAGGAAGGCGCUCAUCCCCUGCAAGAAAUUCUUUGA
rnacentral:lncRNA from 1 species